rnacentral:rRNA from 1 species
CCUACUGUGUGCAGCAGUGAGGAUUAUUGGUCAAUGGGCGCGAGCCUGAACCAGCCAAGUAGCGUGAAGGAUGACUGCCCUACGGGUUGUCAACUUCUUUUAUAAAGGAAUAAAACGAGGCUCGUGUGCCUUUUUGCCUGUACUUUAUGAAUAAGGAUCGGAUAACUCCGUGCCAGCAGCCGCGGUAAUACGGAGGAUCCGAGCGUUAUCCGGCUUUAUUGGGUUUAAAGGGAGCGUAGAUGGGUUGUUAAGUCAGUUGUGAAAGUUUGCGGCGCAACCGUACAAUGGCAAUUGAUACUGGCAGUCUUGAGUACAGUUGAGGUAUGCGGAAUUCGUGGUGUAGCGGUGAAAUGCUUAGAU